rnacentral:rRNA from 1 species
UGGGGAAUAUUGGACAAUGGGCGAAAGCCUGAUCCAGCAAUGCCGCGUGAGUGAUGAAGGCCUUAGGGUUGUAAAGCUCUUUUACCAGGGAUGAUAAUGACAGUACCUGGAGAAUAAGCUCCGGCUAACUCCGUGCCAGCAGCCGCGGUAAUACGUAGGGUGCAAGCGUUAAUCGGAAUUACUGGGCGUAAAGCGUGCGCAGGCGGUUAUGCAAGACAGAUGUGAAAUCCCCGGGCUCAACCUGGGAACUGCAUUUGUGACUGUAUAGCUAGAAUCACGGAGAGGUGAGUGGAAUUCCGAGUGUAGAGGUGAAAUUCGUAGAUAUUCGGAAGAACACCAGUGGCGAAGGCGGCUCACUGGACGUGUAUUGACGCUGAGGUACGAAAGCGUGGGUAGCGAACAGGAUUAGAUACCCCCGUAGUCCCUGAGCGGGCUGGCAAGGCGC